AUCUUAUCCAGAGUAGCUGAGGGACGGGCCCUAUGACGCUCGACAACCGGCAUUUUCCAUUAGAAUGCAUCGGUGUCAAUUCCUGCAGGAUAGUGAUAAUCCUGAGAGAUAAGAU
rnacentral:ncRNA from 1 species